UGACACGCAGCUGGAUGUAGCGUUAGCUGCUGUGUGUGACAUUAUAGAUUGGUGUUUUUUAUUCAGGUCAUCCCCGAAGCACCGCGAGACACCCGCCAACGAGCACUGCUCCCAAUGUUUACUUCCUCGGCAUGUCUUCUCCAGCCACGGAAAAGUAAUGUUUUGGUUGAUUGAGGAUAAUUUUAUGAUAAGUACAUUGAAAAGCCGCCAUGUUAGUACGGAGUAUAUUCAAGUAGCUGUGCGGUUAAUGCGCCAGCUAACCGCAUUUUGAACAGCUUCCUCUCUCGGGCAGCGAGCUGUUGUCCACAAUUGCAGAUCCUCUCCGGGCUCCAUGAUGGCGAUGUUUCGGAGCUUUGUCUCGGCGAGCACCCAGCUCCGCCAGCAGCAGCAGCCCAACAGCGGCUCAGGCUCGCUGGCAGCCCCGGCUGAAGGCAUUGAGAGCCAGUUCUCCUGUCCCAUCUGCCUGGAGGUCUACCAUAAACCCGUCAGCAUCGCCAGCUGCGCUCACACGUUCUGUGGGGAGUGUCUGCAGCCGUGUCUCCAGGUGACUUCACCCCUCUGCCCUCUCUGCCGCGUGCCCUUUGACCCCAAGAAGGUGGAGCGCUCCUCCAGUGUGGAGAAGCAGCUGGCGUCAUACAAAGCACCAUGCAGGGGCUGCAGCAAGAAGGUGGCUCUGGUAAAGAUGAGGUCCCACAUUGCUUCUUGUUCUAAAGUACAGGAGCAGAUAGCCAACUGUCCUAAGUUUGUCCCAGUGGUACCGACCUCCCAACCUAUACCAAGUAAUAUUCCGAACCGGUCAACGUUUGUGUGUCCGUUCUGUGGAGCCAGAAACCUGGACCAGCAGGAACUGGUGAAACACUGUAUGGAUAACCACCGUAAUGACCCCAAUAAAGUGGUGUGUCCGGUGUGUUCAGCCAUGCCAUGGGGAGACCCCAGCUAUAAGAGCUCCAACUUUCUCCAGCAUCUCCUCCACAGACACAAGUUCUCUUACGACACCUUCGUUGACUACAGCAUUGAUGAAGAGGCAGCACUGCAGGCAGCUCUGGCACUGUCACUGGCUGAAAACUGACAAUAGUUACACCCCCAACCACCCAUCCGUCACAGCCAGCACCAACUCCACCACCACUGUGCUGCUGCUUCUCCACUGCUCAAAAGGUAUCAUCCUGACCCAGCCACAUUCACAUUCUCUCGCUUCCUUUUCACGUCAAGCCAAGGAGGAUUUUCCUGCAGCCAGGAUGGAUGGAUGUAUCUUGUCUGCUUCAUUUCGAUUUGAUGGUUUGAAGACACUGUGGGUUUAAAAUGGAUCCAGUGACUGUAUCAAGAUAAGCUAUGUCAAAAACCCAUCACACAUUGACUUUAAAAAUCCAAACCUACAGCUUGGAAACCACUCACAGCUUCAGUUUCAGCUGCCACCUGGAACAGGACAGCAUGAAGGGCUACCUCCACGGAAAAAUGUCUCCUCUGUGAGUUGGAUGCCUGCCGACCCUGAAACCCUUAUCAGUGGUUCACGUCUCUGUGAUGAGUUAAUAUCCAGAAGCUAGCCCUCUAGAGCUAAUUAGGAAGCAUUUUGCAAAGAUGGAUCUGUGGAUAUGAGGUCUAACCUCCAUUUUACUGCUAUCUGCCUCUUCAGCUCUCACUACAAGGAAUAUUUUUAUGAUCCAUCAGCCAAGACAGACCAGUAUAAAAAGAUAUAUUUUUGGAAAACAUUUCAAAUCACUGGACUAAUAUCAGACAUCGUGGGUCAAAUAAUCUGUGUCUGCAACCUCCCGGGGACGAUGAAGUUGUCAAACUUGAAUUGCUGUUAACACACGAGAAACUUGUACAGGACUAGAGAGAAUGGGGCCGAUGUUUUCUAUAGUUUAACCAAUAGAUGGCAGUCCUUCUCCACACUUGCAGAGCCAUACUGAAACCAACACACACACACACACACACACACACACACACACACACACACAGAAGUCAUGCUUUGUACAGGGACAUGUUGUGGCACAAACAGAAGAGGUAACUUGGGUAAUGUUUCCACAGAAGGAUGUAUUCAUCAUUUGCACUUUAAUUCACUCAGUUUUUUAAAUGAUAGUUGGAAUUCUAUUUGUAUAAUCUUAACUCUUGUUUAAUGAUUUUACAAUUUAAAUUUCAUUGUGUUUUGUUAAAAAAAAAAAGAAAGAUGUUGUAUAUUGUAAAAGGUGUCAGGGGUUAGAUGUUACCUGAUAGAAAAUGUACCAUUAGUUUUGUUUGUGUGACAAAAUGUUCAAUAUUUGUUGACUGAGUACUUCAUUUAAAUGGGUAGCAUGUGCCAUUUUUUUCCUUCCAGUAAUGUUUUUGUAGUCAAAAUCACUUUCAUUGACUGGGAACGUUUUUUAUGCAACACCAGAGCUGACAGACACUCACAGGAAAAACAGGUCAAGUGUAAAGAAUGAGUUCUACAAAGGAGAAUUAAUGUAAUGAGAAGAAAAAGAAAUCCCAUGUUCACAUUAUUAAUGAUGAUAAUGGUAAAGGUAGGAAAGAUUAACAUGUUUAUGAGCUGUAAGCAUUCACAUCAGCUGAUGAUUCAAUGCAGCCGUGUGGUAGCUGACUCAGUCGUGUGAGGGUUACAAAUACUUUGCAUUGACAGUAUAGAUUUACAUUCUUUAAAAUUGGGUUUAAUUACCUUGAAUGACCAGUGCCAUGUCAGAUACAUCAAAAAGAUUAGUUUUCCAUCAAAAUUACAAUUAAUGAGAUCUAGAAUUAAAGGUAUGUUCAGACUGAAGUGUAGCUGAUAUAACCCCACAUUAUUGGCUCAAAUUGGACUGCUGUGAACCACCUGGCACCCUGGUGGUCAGAAUGUUCUGCAGCCCCAUACCAACAAACUGUGCUGCACUGUGUGUUCGGACACCUUUCUAUCAGAACCAGCAUUAACUGUUUCAACAGUUUGAGCUACAGUAGCUCGUCUGUUGGAUCGGACCACACGGGCCAGCCUUUGUUCCACACCUGCAUCAAUGAGCCUUGGCCCCCCAUGACCCUGUCUCUGGUUCCUUCCUUGGAGCACUUUUGAUAGGUACUGACCACUGCAGACCGGGAACACCCCACAAGAGCUGCAGGUUUGGAGAUGCUCUGACCCAGUCGUCCAUCACAAUGUGGCCCUUGUCAAAGUCGCUCAAAUCCUCACGCUGCCCAUUUUUCCUGCUUCUAACACAUCAACCGGAGGACAAAAUGUUCACUUGCUGCCUAAUAUAUUAGGUGCUGCUAAAGCUAACAUCAUAUGUUAUAGCAUAUCUUGGCUAAACAGUAAGCUGAAUGUCCGUGUGCAAGUCAUUUAACGUUAGCUCGUAUAACAAGUUAGUGUUGUGUGGCUCAGUUUGAUCCACUUUGUUUGUUUCCCAUUUACAGUACAACUGAAUUUCUUUUUUAGUGCACGCUGAAUUUGAAAAAAAAAAAAAAAUCCUAAUUUUACAUUUCUUCUUUCAAACUAUCAGGAAGUUGGUGGAAAACAAAUAUUUCUAGAACAUUAGGAGUGACGUGAUUAAUCUGUAAACCAAACUAAAAUCAUUUUUCUCCUGUCAGUAUUCCUCUUCCAUAAAUUGCAUAUCUCGCUCUAAAUAUAAAAAUAGAAAUCUUUCACACAAAUGAAAGCUCUUUUUAUAUUUCAGUAGACUCAAAACAAAACACAAACAAACACAAUUAUUUCUUCUGUUUGUUGUUUUUUAUAUUCAUGUUAUAAUAGCAAUCUUUUAUAAAUCUUUGUUACCUCCUGAUCUCUGUAGCAGAAUUCCUCGAUUCUUACUUUGUUCCACUCUGUGUACUCCUUGUUUAUCUGCUUCUAUAGUUGAAACAUUCCGCCUGAGAAAUGUAAAUAAUAAUGUUUAAUCCUU